CGCAAUGGGCGAAAGCCUGACGGAGCAAUACCGCGUGAGGGAUGACUGCCUAUGGGUUGUAAACCUCUUUUUUCAGGGAGGAAUAAAUGACGUGUACCUGAAGAAUCAGCAUCGGCUAACUCCGUGCCAGCAGCCGCGGUAAGACGGAGGAUGCAAGUGUUAUCCGGAAUCACUGGGCGUAAAGCGUCUGUAGGUGGCUCGACAAGUCAACUGUUAAAUCUUGAAGCUCAACUUCAAAAUCGCAGUCGAAACUAUCGGACUAGAGUAUAGUAGAGGUAAAGGGAAUUUCCAGUGGAGCGGUGAAAUGCGUAGAGAUUGGAAAGAACACCGAUGGCGAAGGCACUUUACUGGGCUAUUACUGACACUCGGAGACGAAAGCUA
rnacentral:rRNA from 1 species